GUGCUGGAUUUGGUAGCACAUACAUUGAAAUUGGAAUGAUAUUGCGAAAAUUAGUAUGUCCUUGUACAAGGAUAACAGGCAAAUUCAUGAAGCAUUCCAUAUUCUU